CCCAUCCCAGCGUGGCAGGGGAGAGGCUGGGAGCUGUCAGCUCCUGGCACGGCAGCCACGGCCUCGUCGCUAGCAGUGAUUGCCAUGUACUGAUGCUUGGCCCAUCUGAAGUCCUCCAAGAACUCCUUCACUAUUGUCGUCCUUAUUUCACCGAGAAGAUUCGCACCUUGCCCACAGUAGGACGUGAUACCAUGAGAAAACCUGAUUUUCUAGAGGAAAUGCAGAAGGAGGACUGCUGCCUUGAGGAAGAGUUACAGAGAGAGAAAGAGAGGGAGAGAAAGAGAGAGAGAGAGAAUGUUCCAUCUGCUGGUUCACUCCCCAAGUGGCCACAACACCUGGGGCUAGACCGGGCCAAAGCCAGGAGCCAGGAGCCAGGAACCAGGAGCUUCUUCCAGGGCUCCCACUUGGAUGCAGGAUCCCAAGCACUUGGGCCAUCUUCCACUGCUUUCUCAGGCCAUAGCAGGCAGUUGGAUCAGAAGUGGAGCAGCUGGGACAUAAACCAGUUCCCACAUGGGGUGCUGACAUCGCAGGAGGCAGCUUAACCUGCUAAGCCACAGUGCUGCCCCAAGAUGAGGUAUAUUAAUGCACAGCUUUGCUUGCUUCCUUUCACACAGUCAAGAAUAGGCAUUUUCUAGGCCUGAUCUAGUUUUUGCAGGGAAAUUGCUCAAUAAAAGGGUACUUGAAAAAGUGUGUGCACAAACGGAAUUAAAAGAUGUUUAAUUUGGAACUAAAACUUUUGAAAUACAUAGUUUUUUUUUUCAUAAUAUGCACAUUCUGUGACCCUGUAAA